CUCUCUCUCUCUCUCUCUCUUGAUCGACAAGUCCUGUUUAUUUAUUGAUGCAUUUAUACAUUCAUUUAUCUACUUAUUUAUUUACAACAAUGUAUUCUAUUCCCGAUCUCCUCUGUUGUGAGAAUAAAGAGGAGGGAGGAAGAAGAGCAUAUGCUAUCUUCUUUCUUUUCUUUCCUUUUUUCUUUCAAAGCAGACGAAGGAAUGUCAUCUAUCACCAAAAUGAACACUCACGCCUCUAUACUCAAGCCUCCUGUGCCUCAUUCCUUACGGCGCCCCUCGCCAGGGUAUUAGCGGUCUGCCAAGGGAGACGAAUCGUUCAGCGGGGCACUCAUUCAAGAACUCUGCCGCCGCCUGAGUUGUGUUGCAAUAAAUCCUCCGCUUCACUCUGGUCUCCGCACCGUUACACCCGGUACACAUUUCGGCACGCACUCAGGCCUCGCCCAUCGCUGAGUGAUGGGUCACGUUACUUUGUAGGUAAGUAAUGUGUCUUGCAUCCGUAAUCUAAAUGUUUCGUUUACCCAAUUUCCCUUUUCCAGGACCAACCAACCGUUUUCUUCAUUUUUUUUUAUCCUCUCUCUCUCUCUUUUUUUUUUUUUCUUUCUUUUAGGAAAUUCCAAGGUGUAAUGGAGCAUGCCUCGUCGGGUGAUGGAUGGCCACCACCCGGGCAACGGCACUACAUAACCUUUAUUAAUUCUUCAUGACUUGAGAACCAUGAGCCAGUGAGAACAGUUAGCCGCCCACACUGCUGGGCCGCUGUGCUCCAUGCAGUGGUUAGCUGGGCUGGGCAGUGAGUGGUGCCAUUGUUCCCGCUGAGCUGCUGGCCACGCGCUGCACGUCUGAAUAAUAAAGAGAACAGUAACGCUCACUCGUCCCUGCAGCUUUGUCCCCUCGGCGCCCCGGCAUUCGGCGUGGGGUGGACGCAGGUGGCGGGGACAUCUCCGGCACUCUCAUGGAUCAGCCAGUCCAGGAGCAGCCAUGACUCAGGCAGCCACGACCCCCCUCGCCGCCUCACUCCUGCUGGCGCUGCUGGUGGUGGCGCCUCUCCUGCAGUGCGACGCCCUCCCUCUCGCAGGCCAGGCGCAUGACGCGGCACACUCACAACCGCCACUCGCGCUGAGGCAACAACAGCAGCAGCGGGGAAGCAGGAAACUGAUCGAGAUGAGAACCCGGGCGGCGGAGGCGAGGACAGGGGACUCAGGCGGUGACGUGGGGCAGGUGAAGGUGUACACGCUGCAGAGAGGUGUGUGGACAGCGCCAUCUCUUGAUAUCUACCUUGCGUACAAUUUCACCGAGCAGGACAGAGCCGUUUCCUCCUUCACUGCUUGUUACUGGAUCAGGCGAGUGUUCUUGUGUUCUUUUCUUAUCUGUUUAU